rnacentral:tRNA from 1 species
UUUAAAAGUGGCAGAUGAAUGCGUUGGGUUCAAGCCUCAAAGAUGGAGAAUUUUCUUCUUUUUUUA